rnacentral:rRNA from 1 species
CCUAACCGUGCGAAGGUAGCGUAAUCACUUGUCCUUAAAUAAGGACUAGUAUGAACGGCUUCACGAAGGCUAUACUGUCUCCUUAAUCUAAUCAAUAAAACUAAUCUCCCCGUGAAGAAGCGGGGAUUCAUCUAUAAGACGAGAAGACCCUAUGGAGCUUUAAACACCAAAGACACUUGAUUACACCUACUAAACUUUAUGUAACCUAUCAUCUUGUCUUAAGUUUUAGGUUGGGGUGACCACGGAGAAAAAUUGAACCUCCACGUAGAAAGAAAAUUCUUUUCUAAGCAAAAAGCCACAUCUUAACGCAUCAAUAUAUUGACUUUAAUUGACCCAAUUUCUUGCUCAACGAACCAAGUUACCCUAGGGAUAACAGCGCAAUCCGCUUUAAGAGCUCCUAUCGACAAGCGGGCUUG